rnacentral:tRNA from 2 species
AGCCCGAUGGUGUAACGGUAGCACGAAAGAUUCUGAUUCUUUUAGUCCAGGUUCAAAUCCUGGUCGGGCUA